rnacentral:siRNA from 1 species
AGGAGCAAUCUCCGGAUCUGUUGA